UACGUAGGGGGCAAGCGUUGUCCGGAAUUAUUGGGCGUAAAGCGCGCGCAGGCGGUUUUUUAAGUCUGGUGUUUAAACCUAGGGCUCAACCUUGGGUCGCAUCGGAAACUGGGAGACUGGAGUGUAGGAGAGGGAAGUGGAAUUCCACGUGUAGCGGUGAAAUGCGUAGAGAUGUGGAGGAACACCAGUGGCGAAGGCGACUUCCUGGCCUAUAACUGACGCUGAGGCGCGAAAGCGUGGGGAGCAAACAGG
rnacentral:rRNA from 1 species